rnacentral:rRNA from 1 species
UUGGCCGGGCGACGGUUGUCCCGGUUUAAGCGUGUAGGUGUGUGUUCCAGGUAAAUCCGGUUCACUUUAACACUGAGGCGUGACGACGAGGCACUACGGUGCUGAAGCAACAAAUGCCCUGCUUCCAGGAAAAGCCUCUAAGCAUCAGGUAACAUCAAAUCGUACCCCAAACCGACACAGGUGGUCAGGUAGAGAAUACCAAGGCGCUUGAGAGAACUCGGGUGAAGGAACUAGGCAAAAUGGUGCCGUAACUUCGGGAGAAGGCACGCUGACACGUAGGUGAAGUGAUUUACUCAUGGAGCUGAAGUCAGUCGAAGAUACCAGCUGGCUGCAACUGUUUAUUAAAAACACAGCACUGUGCAAACACGAAAGUGGACGUAUACGGUGUGACGCCUGCCCGGUGCCGGAAGGUUAAUUGAUGGGGUCAGCGCAAGCGAAGCUCCUGAUCGAAGCCCCGGUAAACGGCGGCCGUAACUAUAACGGUCCUAAGGUAGCGAAAUUCCUUGUCGGGUAAGUUCCGACCUGCACGAAUGGCGUAAUGAUGGCCAGGCUGUCUCCACCCGAGACUCAGUGAAAUUGAACUCGCUGUGAAGAUGCAGUGUACCCGCGGCAAGACGGAAAGACCCCGUGAACCUUUACUAUAGCUUGACACUGAACAUUGAGCCUUGAUGUGUAGGAUAGGUGGGAGGCUUUGAAGUGUGGACGCCAGUCUGCAUGGAGCCGACCUUGAAAUACCACCCUUUAAUGUUUGAUGUUCUAACGUGGACCCGUUACCCGGGUUGCGGACAGUGUCUGGUGGGUAGUUUGACUGGGGCGGUCUCCUCCUAAAGAGUAACGGAGGAGCACGAAGGUUGGCUAAUCCUGGUCGGACAUCAGGAGGUUAGUGCAAUGGCAUAAGCCAGCUUGACUGCGAGCGUGACGGCGCGAGCAGGUGCGAAAGCAGGUCAUAGUGAUCCGGUGGUUCUGAAUGGAAGGGCCAUCGCUCAACGGAUAAAAGGUACUCCGGGGAUAACAGGCUGAUACCGCCCAAGAGUUCAUAUCGACGGCGGUGUUUGGCACCUCGAUGUCGGCUCAUCACAUCCUGGGGCUGAAGUAGGUCCCAAGGGUAUGGCUGUUCGCCAUUUAAAGUGGUACGCGAGCUGGGUUUAGAACGUCGUGAGACAGUUCGGUCCCUAUCUGCCGUGGGCGCUGGAGAACUGAGGGGGGCUGCUCCUAGUACGAGAGGACCGGAGUGGACGCAUCACUGGUGUUCGGGUUGUCAUGCCAAUGGCACUGCCCGGUAGCUAAAUGCGGAAGAGAUAAGUGCUGAAAGCAUCUAAGCACGAAACUUGCCCCGAGAUGAGUUCUCCCUGAGACUUAAAGUCUCCUGAAGGAACGUUGAAGACGACGACGUUGAUAGGCCGGGUGUGUAAGCGCAGCGAUGCGUUGAGCUAACCGGUACUAAUGAACCGUGAGGCUUAACCUUACAACGCCGAAG